UGCAGCAAAAUGAAAUACUUAUGAUUCCUUAACAUGCUCAAAGAAAAUAUGAAAGUUCUUCUAUUUUGUUUACAAAAUUGAGUUGGAUGAACGUGCACAAAAAAGAAUGGGCUGCAUGCUGCUUCAAAAUCCUCUUAUGAAACAAAGAUUUCGCCGCAUGAUCCAGAGAAUGCAGGCAUGUUUAAUCUACAUAUUGUGUUUUACUAUCUGAUCCAAUAGACAAGGGAACAUAAUUGCUUGAUUAUUGAAAGAAGAGUCAUCUCUCUGAUUGGCAUGAAGAAAACUAAGCAAUAUCGUGAGAUGGUAAGUCGCUAAGAGAAUCUGCUCAAGAUGGUCAUGGUGAGUGAUAAAUCGAUGAAACUAAUUACAUUAUGAAUCGGAAAGCUAUAAGAUUGAUAAAAGAAGGUAUGAUUAGAAAAAUAGGAAACUAAGAAUGUUAUUUGCAAGUUUUUUCUUUAAAUUAUAGUUUGGUUUUGAAAGAACCUCCAAUUACUUUCUUAAUUGGCUAUCAUUGUUUAAUUGAAAAUUGAUUCAAAUUCCGUGAGUGGUGGUCUUAAUUGGCAUAACUUGAUUUCUCACCCUUAUAAUCUUUAGCUAUAGAGGGGUUUCGUUCUUCUUUUCAUCUAUCAAUAGUUUUAUUGAAACUUUGAUUUUUGUUAGUUGUUCAACUUAUGUAACUCACAUAGAUGGUGGGAUAAGGUUUAAUUAUUGUUGAAAUUGAUUUAUGCAUUUAAAGUGGUUCAAAUUGUCUUGGUGAUACCUGCUGCAAUUUUUGGAUAGGUGAGUGGUGUGUUGGAGAAACCUUCCUCAAGCCAUCAAAAUCAGUGGUGUGUUGAAGAAACCUUCCUUAAGCCAUCAAAAUCAUUUUUGAGCUUUAUUAUGCGGUUGAGUCUGAGAUUUAUUCAAACAUAAUUGAAGCGAUGAAAAAGCCAAGGAUAUUAUGGUCUUUUCUACCAACAACUAUGCUGCUUUUAUUUGGAUGUAUAAUAUUUUAGAGGAUAUGCUUGAUUUGAAUCAUAUGGCUUUAUGGUUUUAUUUUGUGUGUUUUGCAUUCAUGACUUUUGUUAUUAUAUAUUCAGAUUUACCAAUGACUAAGAAGUAGGAAAGCUUCACUUCAUCGGUUCUUGGAGAAAAGGAAGAAUAGACUCCAACAUUUUACAGGCUUCUCUGCUACCCUUUUGUUGUUUCUCUAUGAAGUGGAUCAAUUAGAUCAGAUGUGUGUUUCUCUAUUUUUGUAAGACUGAGUCCUAUGCUCAAAAAUAUCUAUACAUAUUUGUGAAUGUUGUGGUGCGUCCUUAUUAGUACCAUAUUUAAGAGUGUAUUUCUGAUUGACCCCAAAAACAAUGUACUUAUAGUUAUUUACACUCAUUAUAUGUGAGUGACUCUAUUUAGUAUUAUUGUUAUAGUAAAUGUCCUCAAUAUCAUUCUUCUGAUAUUAAUUGCUUCAUCAACAUGAGUUUUAUAUUUUCGC